rnacentral:rRNA from 1 species
GAAGGGGGCUAGCGUUACUCGGAAUUACUGGGGCGUAAAGGGGCGCGUAGGCGGCACCGUCAGUCAGGCGUGAAAUUCCUGGGGCUCAACCUGGGGGGACUGCGCUUGAUACGGCGGAGCUAGAGGAUGGAAGAGGCUCGUGGAAUUCCCAGUGUAGAGGUGAAAUUCGUAGAUAUUGGGAAGAACACCGGUGGCGAAGGCGGCGAGCUGGUCCAUUACUGACGCUGAGGCGCGACAGCGUGGGGAGCAAACAGGAUUAGAUACCCUGGUAGUCCACGCCGUAAACGAUGUGCGCUGGAUGUUGGGUGACCUAGUCACUCAGUGUCGUAGCUAACGCGAUAAGCGCACCGCCUGGGGAGUACGGCCGCAAAGGUUGA